rnacentral:rRNA from 1 species
CAUGCUGUAAACGUUGGGCACUAGGUGUAGGGGGUAUAGACUCCCUCUGUGCCGCAGUUAACGCAUUAAGUAAUCCACCUGGGGAGUACGGCCGCAAGGUUAAAACUCAAAGGAAUUGACGGGGGCCCGCACAAGCAGUGGAGUAUGUGGUUUAAUUCGAAGCAACGCGAAGAACCUUACCAGGGCUUGACAUCCUCGGACGACACUAGAGAUAGUGUUUUCUCUUCGGAGACUGAGAGACAGGUGG